GCAGUCGAACGGUGAAGCCCUUCGGGGUGGAUCAGUGGCGAACGGGUGAGUAACACGUGGGCAAUCUGCCCUGCACUCUGGGACAAGCCCUGGAAACGGGGUCUAAUACCGGAUAUGACCUUCCUCCGCAUGGGGGUUGGUGUAAAGCUCCGGCGGUGCAGGAUGAGCCCGCGGCCUAUCAGCUUGUUGGUGGGGUAAUGGCCUACCAAGGCGACGACGGGUAGCCGGCCUGAGAGGGCGACCGGCCACACUGGGACUGAGACACGGCCCAGACUCCUACGGGAGGCAGCAGUGGGGAAUAUUGCACAAUGGGCGAAAGCCUGAUGCAGCGACGCCGCGUGAGGGAUGACGGCCUUCGGGUUGUAAACCUCUUUCAGCAGGGAAGAAGCGCAAGUGACGGUACCUGCAGAAGAAGCACCGGCUAACUACGUGCCAGCAGCCGCGGUAAUACGUAGGGUGCGAGCGUUGUCCGGAAUUAUUGGGCGUAAAGAGCUCG
rnacentral:rRNA from 1 species